rnacentral:rRNA from 1 species
CGUGCAGGUGGUUCGGUAAGUUAGGCGUGAAAUCUCUCGGCUCAACUGGGAGAGGUCGUCUAAUACUACCGAACUUGAGAGCAGAAGAGGAAGAUGGAAUUCCCGGUGUAGUGGUGAAAUGCGUAGAUAUCGGGAGGAACACCAGUGGCGAAGGCGAUCUUCUGGUCUGUUUCUGACACUCAGACGCGACAGCUAGGGUAGUAAACG